rnacentral:lncRNA from 1 species
AUAACGCCGCCUCCGCCGGCCCCGGGGGCUCCGCGCGCGCGCCCAAACCGCGUCCCGGAGACGCUCAGCCACAUGCGGAGCCGCGGCAUGAGCAAAGCCCCGCGGGGGCCCAGCCGCCGCCGCUGCCGCCUUCCCUGUGGGGCUUCUCCCGGGCCUGGUCGCUGCAGCUGCUGCUUCUUCUUGCCGCCGCCGGCGUGGCUGCCCGGAGCGCACGAGUCCCGCUGGCGCGCCGUGCGAGCGGUUGUGCGGAGGCGCUGGGCUCCUGGGCUGCUUCCCCCCUGCGCUUCGCCUUCUCCUCCCUCCGCCCCCGGAGGGGUGAGCUGAACUCUCCGCUCGCCGCCUUGCAGCUCGCCUCGCGGAAACCGCCCCCGGAAGGGUCAUCGUCGCCGUCCCGGCCAUUAGGCAGCACCCCUCGCCCACAGACGCGCCCCCCGACGCCCGCCCGCGCCCCUCGCGCAGAAUCUAGAUUUUAUUUCCAUUCGAUCAAGAAGGAAACUGCUAUUCAGCCUGAUGGCAAAUACCUUCAGAAGUGUGGCAGAAGACAAGCAGUGGCAGAGUCAAGUGGGCCUCCCAUGGGAAGGCAUUCCACAGCUGUGGCUGCAAUCCCAAAGGGUCUGUCUUGUAUCCCCACCACAGACGACAGGAGGACAUGA